GAAUUGAAGAGUUUGAUCAUGGCUCAGAUUGAACGCUGGCGGCAGGCUUAACACAUGCAAGUCGAACGGUAGCACAUAGGAGUUUGCUCCUUGGGUGACGAGUGGCGGACGGGUGAGUAAUGCUUGGGAAUCUGGCUUAUGGAGGGGGAUAACUACUGGAAACGGUAGCUAAUACCGCGUAAUGUCUUAGGACUAAAGGGUGGGACCAUUUGGCCACCUGCCAUAAGAUGAGCCCAAGUGGGAUUAGGUAGUUGGUGAGGUAAAGGCUCACCAAGCCCGCGAUCUCUAGCUGGUCUGAGAGGAUGACCAGCCACACUGGAACUGAGACACGGUCCAGACUCCUACGGGAGGCAGCAGUGGGGAAUAUUGCACAAUGGGGGGAACCCUGAUGCAGCCAUGCCGCGUGAAUGAAGAAGGCCUUCGGGUUGUAAAGUUCUUUCGGUGACGAGGAAGGCGAUUGUUUUAAUAGAACAGUCGAUUGACGUUAAUCACAGAAGAAGCACCGGCUAACUCCGUGCCAGCAGCCGCGGUAAUACGGGGGGUGCGAGCGUUAAUCGGAAUAACUGGGCGUAAAGGGCACGCAGGCGGUUGUUUAAGUGAGGUGUGAAAGCCCCGGGCUUAACCUGGGAAUUGCAUUUCAGACUGGACAACUAGAGUACUUUAGGGAGGGGUAGAAUUCCACGUGUAGCGGUGAAAUGCGUAGAGAUGUGGAGGAAUACCGAAGGCGAAGGCAGCCCCUUGGGAAUGUACUGACGCUCAUGUGCGAAAGCGUGGGGAGCAAACAGGAUUAGAUACCCUGGUAGUCCACGCCGUAAACGCUGUCGAUUUGGGGAUUGGGGUUUAACUCUGGUGCCCGUAGCUAACGUGAUAAAUCGACCGCCUGGGGAGUACGGCCGCAAGGUUAAAACUCAAAUGAAUUGACGGGGGCCCGCACAAGCGGUGGAGCAUGUGGUUUAAUUCGAUGCAACGCGAAGAACCUUACCUACUCUUGACAUCCAUGGAAUCUUGUAGAGAUAUGAGAGUGCCUUCGGGAACCAUGAGACAGGUGCUGCAUGGCUGUCGUCAGCUCGUGUUGUGAAAUGUUGGGUUAAGUCCCGCAACGAGCGCAACCCU
rnacentral:rRNA from 1 species